UUCUUCAAGCUUUACCUCAGUUCUUGUGCCUGUUAUGCAUAGCUCCUUUUUGUGCAUUUUCCAGAUUCUGAGGACUCAGAAAUUCUCAUCUAUCAAAAUUCUUUGGCAACUCUGUGCAAUCAUCAAAUGUUAUUUUCUAUGAUUAACAGGAGGGAUGCCUGAAAAAUCCUUUCCUAGCCAAGAACAAGCCUUAUCUGGUACUUGUUCUUCUUCUCCCCAUUUUAUCAGCGUCCUUAAAAACAGAUAGCUCUGAUUCUGCCAAGCAGCAGGUUGAAAGGAUUGCUUUAAGUGGCACCUUGUGGAGUUGGUAGAGGAAGGCAGAAAUUGGAGUCUCAGGGAGGCAGCAAGGUAUUUUUUUUAAGUGUUAGCAGGCAAGCACCAUUUGGGCAGCACAAUGUCUUGCAUCAGUAAAUAGAUAAGACAGGCAGAAAAACAACAUGGAUAGUAAACUUUCCAUUGUUUAGAAAGAUUUGUUUUCAAAGGUAUCCACUGAUUUUUAAUUUAUGAAGACCCUAAGGGUAACAUGUUGUAUUCAAACAUGUUGCCAUUCUAAAUUCUUUUUUGUAGGCUUGUAGUUAACAAUCCAAAUGGGCUAGCACAGCUGUAGCUUACUUGUUCAACGGACAAGGAAUGGAGGAGGAGGAAUAGAGACUGGUUGUGUAUGUGUUCUUUAGGAAAUGUAAUAAGGUCAAAUUUCCUCUACAAUGAUCCACAUAUGGAGGCAGUGGUGCAAUCUGCAUGGUACAGCAAGCAGUGAGCAGGAACAGUUCUACCAAACUGGUUGCAAUAACAGCUGAACCCGCAUCGGAACUGAGACCAUAGUCUGUGCUGGGCUUUCUAUUUUCGGCACAGUAAUGUUGGCUUUAGAUUGUUAUGUAGGUUGCUUGAAUGCUGUUCUAUAAACAGAUUAGCAGACUUGGAGCUCACUUUAUUAUGAGCAGACUAGAUCAUUUCUCUUCUUGGUUUUGCCAUUUUGAAAAUUGAUUCAAUUUUAAAAAGUGCUCCUUUAUUGCUCUGUAUCUCCUGACUAUGUUGUGAAUGAAGCUGAUGACUCAUUCAAAGGAAAACGAAAGCACUGAUGUCCUUCUGUAUAGACUGCCUUUGACUGGAGGUUGUUCUUUUGGGAUGAACCCAAGAACUCACCUACAAGGACAAAAUAUUUGGUCACUGUUAGAGAAAGGAACAUUCUUUGCAGAUUAAAGACAUUCCUUUAACUGCUAAUUGGAAAAUUAUUUUUUUCAGAAUGUAUACUACUGAACUAAUGCUUCAUUUUAAUUAUCAAUCAUAGCAAUAAAGAUUGUGUUGUUUACAAA